rnacentral:lncRNA from 1 species
AUGGGACACACGGGACAGGGCACUGCUGGCACCGGGCACCUUCCCAUCCUCACCUGGGCACCAGCAUCACCUCUCUGGCUGGUCCCACAGCCCAGAGGUGUGAUUUGGGGGGGGCUCCAAGAGAAACAGUGCUGGAGGGAGCCCAUAGAGGCCGGUUGGGUGGCACAGCAGGGAUGGAGGUGGUGGCUGUUGCAACACGGUUGGGGCCCGUGCGUAAAUAGAGGGUGCUUUGUUCCUGUUGUGCCAUGGCCAGGUGGCCACAAGGGACACGGGCUCGUGAGUCACCCACCUGUGAGUCACCCUCUCCGUGUCCCUCACGUGGCACGGGGGAAAUGCCAACCCAGCCCGGGGCGUGGGGAACAAAACCUGUCCCGUGGGGGUGCUGGGGGCACAGUGGGUUGUAUGCAGAGGGAAUGUGCAGCGUGGCACGGAGCCUUUCUUGCCGGGUGUCACCUUCAGAGCAUCUUCAGGACAAGUGUCACCAUCAGAGCAUCACCAGGCCACGUGCCACUGUCCGGUCAUCACCGUCCCGAUGGCGAUGAGGACCAGGAGAUGGGCACACGCUGCCUGGGGCAGGACACCCCCGUGCCACCGGUGUUCCCCAUCCUCCAGGCUCGUUUCUUGCAGGCUCGGUACCAGCCUUCUGCAGCACCUGGGGUCGCUGCCAGCACCGGGCACUUCUUGCCCUCCUCAGCAUCCUCCCGGCACUCCGGGGAGCCCCGGGGGAGCCCCCGCCGCAGCCCCGCAGCCUGGAAGCGGCUUCCUCCGGGGGGCACCGGGGAGGCACCGGGAACGGUCCCGGCUCUCCGGCUGCCGGUAGCCGCACCGGGCCGUGCCGGGCCGUGCCGGGGGCGGUGGCAGAGCUGCUCCCCGCCCCGUCGGGGCCGUGCUGAGGCCGGGGGCGGGCCGGAGGGGCCGGCCGGGAGCCGACGUCAGGCCCCGCGGCGGCGGCGGGGGGCGGAAGGCGGAGGAGGAGGAGGAGGAGGAGGAGGAGGAGGAGGAGGUGAAGAAGGCUGA